rnacentral:rRNA from 1 species
UCCGCGCUGCAUUAGCUAGUUGGUAAGGUAACGGCUUACCAAGGCAACGAUGCAUAGCCGACCUGAGAGGGUGAUCGGCCACACUGGAACUGAGACACGGUCCAGACUCCUACGGGAGGCAGCAGUAGGGAAUCUUCCGCAAUGGGCGAAAGCCUGACGGAGCAACGCCGCGUGAGUGAUGAAGGUCUUCGGAUCGUAAAACUCUGUUAUUAGGGAAGAACAUAUGUGUAAGUAACUGUGCACAUCUUGACGGUACCUAAUCAGAAAGCCACGGCUAACUACGUGCCAGCAGCCGCGGUAAUACGUAGGUGGCAAGCGUUAUCCGGAAUUAUUGGGCGUAAAGCGCGCGUAGGCGGUUUUUUAAGUCUGAUGUGAAAGCCCACGGCUCAACCGUGGAGGGUCAUUGGAAACUGGAAAACUUGAGUGCAGAAGAGGAAAGUGGAAUUCCAUGUGUAGCGGUGAAAUGCGCAGAGAUAUGGAGGAACACCAGUGGCGAAGGCGACUUUCUGGUCUGUAACUGACGCUGAUGUGCGAAAGCGUGGGGAUCAAACAGGAUUAGAUACCCUGGUAGUCCACGCCGUAAACGAUGAGUGCUAAGUGUUAGGGGGUUUCCGCCCCUUAGUGCUGCAGCUAACGCAUUAAGCACUCCGCCUGGGGAGUACGACCGCAAGGUUGAAACUCAAAGGAAUUGACGGGGACCCGCACAAGCGGUGGAGCAUGUGGUUUAAUUCGAAGCAACGCGAAGAACCUUACCAAAUCUUGACAUCCUUUGACAACUCUAGAGAUAGAGCCUUCCCCUUCGGGGGACAAAGUGACAGGUGGUGCAUGGUUGUCGUCAGCUCGUGUCGUGAGAUGUUGGGUUAAGUCCCGCAACGAGCGCAACCCUUAAGCUUAGUUGCCAUCAUUAAGUUGGGCACUCUAAGUUGACUGCCGGUGACAAACCGGAGGAAGGUGGGGAUGACGUCAAAUCAUCAUGCCCCUUAUGAUUUGGGCUACACACGUGCUACAAUGGACAAUACAAAGGGCAGCGAAACCGCGAGGUCAAGCAAAUCCCAUAAAGUUGUUCUCAGUUCGGAUUGUAGUCUGCAACUCGACUACAUGAAGCUGGAAUCGCUAGUAAUCGUAGAUCAGCAUGCUACGGUGAAUACGUUCCCGGGUCUUGUACACACCGCCCGUCACACCACGAGAGUUUGUAACACCCGAAGCCGGUGGAGUAACCUUUUAGGAGCUAGCCGUCGAAGGUGGGACAAAUGAUUGGGGUGAAGUCGUAACAAGGUAGCCGUAUCGGAAGGUGCGGCUGGAUCACCU